UGGAAACGGGUGGUAAUGCCGGAUGCUCCGACUCCUCGCAUGGGGUGUCGGGAAAGAUUUCAUCGGUAUGGGAUGGGGUCGCGUCCUAUCAGGUAGUCGGCGGGGUAACGGCCCACCGAGCCUACGACGGGUAGCCGGCCUGAGAGGGCGACCGGCCACAUUGGGACUGAGAUACGGCCCAGACUCCUACGGGAGGCAGCAGUGGGGAAUAUUGCACAAUGGGCGCAAGCCUGAUGCAGCGACGCCGCGUGCGGGAUGACGGCCUUCGGGUUGUAAACCGCUUUUGAUCGGGAGCAAGCCUUCGGGUGAGUGUACCUUUCGAAUAAGCACCGGCUAACUACGUGCCAGCAGCCGCGGUAAUACGUAGGGUGCAAGCGUUAUCCGGAAUUAUUGGGCGUAAAGGGCUCGUAGGCGGUUCGUCGCGUCCGGUGUGAAAGUCCAUCGCUUAACGGUGGAUCUGCGCCGGGUACGGGCGGGCUGGAGUGCGGUAGGGGAGACUGGAAUUCCCGGUGUAACGGUGGAAUGUGUAGAUAUCGG
rnacentral:rRNA from 1 species